UCUCUUCAUAGCUGUCAAUUGAAUCUUGGGAGUUUCCCGCUGCUCCUCCGCCAAUGCCAUCAUCUCAUUGCUAAAACUCUUCCUUCUUUUUCGCCAACGUUUCAACCCUAACUCCGCAGCUCACUCCUCUUUCUCUAACGCUUACAGAUCGUGCCACGUAUUUAUCUCGCUCGCCGCAUUGAUUAUCACUCGCUCAUAGUCUCAAUGCUAUGCAUUUCGUCUUCGAACUGGCUGUCGGUGCCGAUUGUAGCUCGAUGAAUUGCCAUUUCUAGUCGACUGACAAGGAAGUCAUGAUCCGAGCAAGAAAGGAAAUACGUACACCAGAGUCAACAAAAGAAGUUGGAUUUGCUUCAUACUCAUCAUUUUCUGACAGCAGUUCUGAUGUUGUGACUCCAAGAUCUUCUUCUGAUUCUGGCUUAAGUGUCCGGGGAUGUUCCCAUCCAACCAAACGUUCUUCUCAAGCAGGCUGGACGGAUGAUGAGGAUAAGAGGCUUACUGAAGUAGUGCAGAGGUUCAAUGCCAAGAACUGGAAAAAAAUAUCUGAAUGCAUGCCUGGAAGAUCAGAUGUUCAGUGCUUGCACCGUUGGCAGAAGGUUUUGAACCCAGACCUCAGGAAAAGCCCUUGGACAAAGGAGGAGGAUGAUCGUGUUACUGAGUUUGUUGUGAAGUACGGUAGUAAGAAAUGGUCAUUUAUUGCAAACUUUGUACAUGGUCGAAAUGGAAAGCAGUGUCGCGAAAGGUGGCAUAAUCACUUGGAUCCGGCAAUCAAGAAAGAUGCAUGGACAAAAGAGGAGGAAGAAACUUUAAGACACUACCAUCAACUACUUGGUAACAAAUGGGCAGAAAUUGCGAAGUUUCUCCCCGGAAGGACUGACAAUGCUAUAAAAAACCACUGGAAUUGCUCGGUUAAGAAGAGGCCUGAUAUGAAUUCGCCUCCUAUUUUGGCAAUGGAAUCGCAGGGAAGUUCGUAUCUGAAUAUCUUCAAUAAUGAAGAAGAAAAAAUGCGAGCUGAAAGUGGUACAAUAUCGCCUUAUCCAGACCAGAAGGUCACUCAGAAAAGUGAUGGUUCCUGUUCUACAAUCAUGGCCUUUGGCAAUACUAAAUUUCCUGCAGAUCAUGCACAGGCAAAACCUGCCCUGCUGGAUUCCUGCAGAUCUUAUGAGAAAGGGAGUACAAACGGUAUUCAUUUUGGUUCCCCGCCCACCAAUAUAAGUGGCAGUUGUUUCAAUGGCAGCUGCAAUAAAGUCGGAUCCUAUAACCAGUCAACCAACUCGUUGAAUAAUGUUAGAGAAGAUGCUCUGGAUAGCGUCCCUACAAAUCCAAAAGUGUUUACAUCACCUCAGAUGUCUAGAGACAGCCAAUGUGUAACAGAUGGAAGUUGUGAUCACUCACCUGUUGAUACCGUUUUAAGCCUCUCAGUGUGUGGAUACACUGACAAUAGUAUAAAGACCAGAAAAAGAAGCAGGAUCUGUCAAUCACCUCUAUUGGCUGAUGAGGGGAGUGGAUUGUCAUGUUAUGAUCCAUCUCGGCCGAAUGGUUCUGAUAUUAAAACUGAACAUGCUGGUCAUCAGCUCGUUAGUUCCUACCCCAUUAACCUGUCACUAUCUAUCUCUAGUCCAGAAUCUAUACUGAAGAGUUCGGCUAUAAGUUACAGAAAUACGCCUUCAAUUAUACGGAGGAAAACAUAUAGAGAAGUAGCUAGUGGAAUUUACUCUAGCACUUUUAGCACUUCAAUGCACGCUGCUGACUGCUCAAAUUUGACGAGUGAGAGAGGUGGCUUGCCUUGUCACGACACCAGAUCUGGUUCAUCAGUUAUAGGACAAGCUGUGGAAAGACGACUCGAACAUGCAUUCGAUUUAGAGUGGGAUUCGAGCUCUGUUAAAUGUUACUCUCCAGGAUCAUCACAACUUAAAUCUGAUAAAAAGAUAAUCUUGGCUCCCUGAAAAAGAAUGUUGCAGGCUAUCAGUGUACAUCAAAGAAGCAAUCUUGUGAGUAAGGCAGGACCGGAUCAAGACAAGUAAUUUGAGACGUGAGGUGGAAAGAAUAAAGACUACACAUACAAUAAGUCCUUUGAAUUUUUUUUUUUCAAAUAGAUCUUGUUCUUUCAACGAACUUGUUGAUACAUCUUUUCUAUGAGUAUAUAACAAAUUAAUAUGAUGAAUAA